rnacentral:ncRNA from 1 species
AGCUAGAAACGGCAAGAUACUUGAAAGGGUAUUACGCAAAGCUACCAGUCUACGGAUUUUCUAUGACAGUGGAGCUACCUAA